UACGUAGGGACCGAGCGUUGUCCGGAUUCAUUGGCGUAAAGAGCUCGUAGGCGGCCACUCAAGUCGAAUGUGAAACCUCGAGGCUUAACCUCGAGCCUGCAUUCGAUACUGGGCGGCUAGAGUCUGGUAGGGGGAUCUGGAAUUCCUGGUGUAGCGGUGGAAUGCGCAGAUAUCAGGAGGAACACCGGUGGCGAAGGCGGGAUCCUGGGCCAGUACUGACGCUGAGGAGCGAAAGCGUGGGGAGCAAAGCAGGG
rnacentral:rRNA from 1 species